rnacentral:rRNA from 1 species
GGGUGAGUAACGCGUAUGCGACCUGCCCGUUGCAGGGGGAUAAUCGGGAGAAAUCCCGUCUAAUACCGCGUAAUGCCGCGGGGCUGCAUAGCCCUGCGGCCAAAGGGAGCGAUUCCGGCAACGGAUGGGCAUGCGUGACAUUAGCUAGUUGGCGGGGCAACGGCCCACCAAGGCGACGAUGUCUAGGGGUUCUGAGAGGAAGGUCCCCCACACUGGUACUGAGACACGGACCAGACUCCUACGGGAGGCAGCAGUGAGGAAUAUUGGUCAAUGGGCGCGAGCCUGAACCAGCCAAGUCGCGUGAGGGAAGACGGUCCUAUGGAUUGUAAACCUCUUUUGUCGGGGAGCAAAAGACGUCACGUGUGGCGUUCCGAGAGUACCCGAAGAAAAAGCAUCGGCUAACUCCGUGCCAGCAGCCGCGGUAAUACGGAGGAUGCGAGCGUUAUCCGGAUUUAUUGGGUUUAAAGGGUGCGCAGGCGGAAGAUCAAGUCAGCGGUAAAAUUGAGGGGCUCAACCUCUUCGAGCCGUUGAAACUGGUUUUCUUGAGUGAGCGAGAAGUAUGCGGAAUGCGUGGUGUAGCGGUGAAAUGCAUAGAUAUCACGCAGAACUCCGAUUGCGAAGGCAGCAUACCGGCGCUCAACUGACGCUCAUGCACGAAAGUGUGGGUAUCGAACAGGAUUAGAUACCCUGGUAGUCCACACAGUAAACGAU